rnacentral:ncRNA from 1 species
UGCGGUUGAGAUAAACGCUGAAGGCAUCUAAGCGUGAAGCUUGCCUCAAGAUGAGAUAUCCUUUAGGUCACUUGCAGACUACAAGUUUGAUAGGUCGGAGGUGGAAGCGCAGUAAUGCGUGUAGCUGACCGAUACUAAUAGACCGAUUGCUUGAACCUC